rnacentral:rRNA from 1 species
CCUACGGGGGGCAGCAGUGAGGAAUAUUGGUCAAUGGACGAGAGUCUGAACCAGCCAAGUAGCGUGAAGGAUGACUGCCCUAUGGGUUGUAAACUUCUUUUAUAUGGGAAUAAAACGUUCCACGUGUGGGAUUUUGUAUGUACCAUAUGAAUAAGGAUCGGCUAACUCCGUGCCAGCAGCCGCGGUAAUACGGAGGAUCCGAGCGUUAUCCGGAUUUAUUGGGUUUAAAGGGAGCGUAGGUGGAUUGUUAAGUCAGUUGUGAAAGUUUGCGGCUCAACCGUAAAAUUGCAGUUGAAACUGGCAGUCUUGAGUACAGGAGAGGUGGGCGGAAUUCGUGGUGUAGCGGUGAAAUGCUUAGAUAUCACGAAGAACUCCGAUUGCGAAGGCAGUUCACUGGACUGCAACUGACACUGAGGCUCGAAAGUGUGGGUAUCAAACAGGAUUAGAUACCCCGGUAGUC